GAAAGGCCUCUUCGGAGGUACUCGAGUGGCGAACGGGUGAGUAACACGUGGGCAAUCUGCCCUGCACUUCGGGAUAAGCCUGGGAAACUGGGUCUAAUACCGGAUAGGACCUUUAGACGCAUGUCUUUUGGUGGAAAGCUUUUGCGGUGUGGGAUGGGCCCGCGGCCUAUCAGCUUGUUGGUGGGGUGAUGGCCUACCAAGGCGACGACGGGUAGCCGGCCUGAGAGGGUGUCCGGCCACACUGGGACUGAGAUACGGCCCAGACUCCUACGGGAGGCAGCAGUGGGGAAUAUUGCACAAUGGGCGCAAGCCUGAUGCAGCGACGCCGCGUGGGGGAUGACGGCCUUCGGGUUGUAAACCUCUUUCACCAUCGACGAAGGUCCGGGUUUUCUCGGAUUGACGGUAGGUGGAGAAGAAGCACCGGCCAACUACGUGCCAGCAGCCGCGGUAAUACGUAGGGUGCGAGCGUUGUCCGGAAUUACUGGGCGUAAAGAGCUCGUAGGUGGUUUGUCGCGUUGUUCGUGAAAUCUCACGGCUUAACUGUGAGCGUGCGGGCGAUACGGGCAGACUAGAGUACUGCAGGGGAGACUGGAAUUCCUGGUGUAGCGGUGGAAUGCGCAGAUAUCAGGAGGAACACCGGUGGCGAAGGCGGGUCUCUGGGCAGUAACUGACGCUGAGGAGCGAAAGCGUGGGGAGCGAACAGGAUUAGAUACCCUGGUAGUCCACGCCGUAACGGUGGGUACUAGGUGUGGGUUUCCUUCCUUGGGAUCCGUGCCGUAGCUCACGCAUUAAGUACCCCGCCUGGGGAGUACGGCCGCAAGGCUAAAACUCAAGGAAUUGACGGGGGCCCGCACAAGCGGCGGAGCAUGUGGAUUAAUUCGAUGCAACGCGAGAACCUUACCUGGGUUUGACAUGCACAGGACGCGUCUAGAGAUAGCGUCCUGUCG
rnacentral:rRNA from 1 species